UACGUGGGGGGCUAGCGUUGUCCGGAAUCAUUGGGCGUAAAGCGCGUGUAGGCGGUCCGGUAAGUCCGCUGUGAAAGUCGGGGGCUCAACCCUCGGAUGCCGGUGGAUACUGUCGGGCUUGAGUACGGAAGAGGCGAGUGGAAUUCCUGGUGUAGCGGUGAAAUGCGCAGAUAUCAGGAGGAACACCAAUUGCGAAGGCGGCUCGCUGGGACGUUACUGACGCUGAGACGCGAAAGCGUGGGGAGCAAACAGG
rnacentral:rRNA from 1 species